rnacentral:rRNA from 1 species
GUGGGGAAUCUUCCGCAAUGGACGAAAGUCUGACGGAGCAACGCCGCGUGAGUGAAGAAGGUUUUCGGAUCGUAAAGCUCUUUCGUUAGGGACGAACGUGCUCUUUGUGAAUAAUGAGGAGUAAUGACGGUACCUAAAUAAGAAGCCACGGCUAACUACGUGCCAGCAGCCGCGGUAAUACGUAGGUGGCAAGCGUUGUCCGGAAUUAUUGGGCGUAAAGCGCGCGCAGGCGGGAUAUCAAGUCUGUCUUAAAAGUGCGAGGCUCAACCUCGUGAGGGGGCAGAAAAUGGUAUUCUUGAGUGUCGGAGAGGAAAGUGGAAUUCCAAGUGUAGCGGUGAAAUGCGUAGAGAUUUGGAAGAACACCAGUGGCGAAGGCGACUUUCUGGACGAUGUCUGACGCUGAGGCGCGAAAGCUAGGGGAGCGAACGGGAUUAGAAACCCGGGUAGUCC